AGCAGCCGCGGUAAUUCCAGCUCCAAUAGCGUAUAUUAAAGUUGUUGCAGUUAAAAAGCUCGUAGUUGAAUUUCGGGAUCAGUACGCUGGUCGUGCCUUCGGUAUGCACUGGUGUCACUGGUUCCUCCCUUCUGAAGAACUGUCAUGCCAUUCAGUUGGUGUGGCGGGGAAUCAGGACUGUUACUUUGAAAAAUUAGAGUGUUUAAAGCAGGCUCGCGCUUGAAUACAUUAGCAUGGAAUAAUGAAAUAGGACGUUUGAUCCUAUUUUGUUGGUUUUUAGGAUCGACGUAAUGAUUAAUAGGGAUAGUUGGGGGCAUUAGUAUUCAAUUGUCAGAGGUGAAAUUCUUGGAUUUAUUGAAGACUAACUACUGCGAAAGCAUUUGCCAAGGAUGUUUUCAUUAAUCAAGAACGAAAGUUAGGGGAUCGAAGACGAUCAGAUAUCGUCGUAGU
rnacentral:rRNA from 1 species